rnacentral:rRNA from 1 species
GACCUCGGAUCAGGUAGGAAUACCCGCUGAACUUAAGCAUAUCAAUAAGCGCGGGG